UCAGAAAACAUUUCUGCAUUGAUAAAACAGAUCAACAUGUUCACUGCUUGUGUGUUUUUCCUUGCUUCAGACAACCUGUUUGCUGAUCAACUGAACUUUGCCUGUUCCUGUUUUUGUUCAGGGACAGAAUUCAUUUGAAAAUGUAAGAUCAGCAAAAGCUUGUUGAUUUUCAUGAUGUAAAAGAGGAUUGAGGUGUAAACUGUGAUUGGACAUCAGGGGAGUUUUCACACACAGCCAGAUAAAUAUCACAGUUCAGUUGUGUUUUAGAUCAGUCUGAUCAGAUAUUUUAAGAGUUUCUAUCGUGAGCUGUUUUGAACCGAAGAAGAAAAUGUUUCUCAAAUUAGUUUUGAUCUGUUUGUGUUUGCAGCAUCUGGUUGGUGGGUUUGGUAAUGAUCGUCCCUGGACAGUGAAAGUAAACAAGGGAGAUUCAGUCACUCUAAACUCUGAUCUUACUGAAAUGAAGGAUGAUGAUGAGAUUCAGUGGAGGUUUGAAAACACUUUAAUAGCUGAAAUCAAUAAACAGGCCGACAGAUUCACUGUAUAUGAUGAUGUUUUUGAUGGGAGAUUCAGAGACAGACUGAAACUGGACAAUCAAACUGGAUCUCUGAGCAUCACAACUGAACAUGAUGGAUCUUUUCUACCAGAGAUAAUUGGAGAAAAAUCAAUUGGGGGAAUACACGUUUUAAACUGUUUCUGUACAAGUGAUUUCCUUUUCUAAAUGAACACGCUAGUUCCUUGUAGCUUAAACACACACAUACAAACAGUAGCUCACACAUUAUGUGCAUCAGAUCGCACGCAGAAUUAUUAAAAAAUUAUUGUCAACGCUGUCCUGCGAUUUAUCAACAAAUUUCUUCUUAAAAAAAUGCUCCAAUUCCAAAAGUAAGCAAAACUACAGAAAAAGUAGUUAAUACUGCUGAAUCAUUUGACCAUUAAAGCUAUCAUCUUGAUCUUUAUCAAUGCA